GACGAACGCUGGCGGCGUGCUUAACACAUGCAAGUCGAACGGAAAGGCCCUGCUUGCAGGGUACUCGAGUGGCGAACGGGUGAGUAACACGUGGGUGAUCUGCCCUGCACUUCGGGAUAAGCCUGGGAAACUGGGUCUAAUACCGGAUAGGAGCCAUUUUUAGUGUGAUGGUUGGAAAGUUUUUUCGGUGUAGGGUGAGCUCGCGGCCUAUCAGCUUGUUGGUGGGGUAAUGGCCUACCAAGGCGGCGACGGGUAGCCGGCCUGUGAGGGUGGACGGCCACAUUGGGACUGAGAUACGGCCCAGACUCCUACGGGAGGCAGCAGUGGGGAAGAUUGCACAAUGGGCGCAAGCCUGAUGCAGCGACGCCGCGUGGGGGAUGACGGCCUUCGGGUUGUAAACUCCUUUCGCUAGGGACGAAGCUUUUUGUGACGGUACCUAGAUAAGAAGCACCGGCUAACUACGUG
rnacentral:rRNA from 1 species